rnacentral:rRNA from 1 species
UACGUAGGGUGCGAGCGUUAAUCGGAAUUACUGGGCGUAAAGCGUGCGCAGGCGGUUUUGUAAGCCAGAUGUGAAAUCCCCGGGCUUAACCUGGGAAUGGCGAUGGAGACUGCGAGGCUAGAGUUUGGCAGAGGGGGGUAGAAUUCCACGUGUAGCAGUGAAAUGCGUAGAGAUGUGGAGGAAUACCGAUGGCGAAGGCAGCCCCAUGGGAUAACACUGACGCUCAUGCACGAAAGCGAGGGGAGCAAACAGG